rnacentral:rRNA from 1 species
UACGGAGGUUCCAAGCGUUGUUCGGAAUUACUGGGCGUAAAGGGAGCGCAGGCGGGCAAGUCAGUCUGAAGUGAAAUCCCGGGGCUCAACCUCGGACUUGCUUCGGAUACUGCUUGUCUUGAGUUCGUGAUAGGAAGACGGAAUUCAGGGUGUAGCGGUGAAAUGCACAGAUAUCCUGAGGAACACCGGUGGCGAAAGCGGUCUUCUGGCGCGAAACUGACGCUGAGGCUCGAAAGCGUGGGUAGCAAACGGGAUUAGAUACCCCGGUAGUCCCU